UCUGAUGAGUACUGUUCAUUUCCAACUCUGGAUGUCUGUCUCAGAGCACCACAAAGGCAAGGAAUUCUGGAGAAAUGAUUUUGAGGGAAAAUAGGACUCAGACGAAGGGACCAACCUAAGAAGACUACCUUAAAUCUCCCAAGGAAGUAAGGAGAGAGAGACUCUCAACCAGAAUAGUGGAAUGAGAGCAAUACGUUGCAUGAAAGACGCCUUGAAAAAAAAUGGAGAAGGUCGUGGUCACAAAGGCAGGUUGAAUCGAGGAUAACACUGACAGCUAAUGGAUCUCUAAGGUCUCACCCGUCACUGGCACUAUAUGACUCUACGAAUCUAUGUCAAAUAAGAAUGAGUGAAGGAUAUAUUGGUUCUCUGUCUAACGGAUGAUGCAACUAAAAAAGACUAGAGAGCAAAAAUGACAGCUAAAACAUUGGAACGUCCAUCCAAAUUGGCUCCAUCAUAAAUAUGUGUAACUGAGGUACACAUUUUCAUAAUGAUAAUGAAAAACAUAAUUGUUGUGAUGAAUUUUCAGUUUGGAAGCAAGGAUAGCUAUCACCGGGAAUGUGGAACUCAAUUAUAAAUGAAUUGCUUUGUAAUUAUAAAUUGCCAAAUACAGUAAUUAUUGUAGCAGGACCACAGUAAUUAGUUUAUGGACACAUUCUAGAAUCUUGUAAUGCUUCCCAAUCAAAGAAAAAUAUCACUGGCUCUAUCCAGCCACAUGGACUUUGGGUCAAAUGCUUUCCUGAAGAUCUGCAUUGAAUGUGACCUCUGACAUUGCAGCCAAAUUCGUCCACACCAUGACAGAGUUUCCAAGUUACCCUUCACAGCUAAUGCCAGAAAUUUUUGGUUCAGGAAGAUGAGGAGAUAACACACUGCAGGGCACUUGUAAUGGAAUAUGAAAGGCCAAAGUCACCUACUGCAUCCUGGGCCAUCACCAUUCACUAGUCACCUUGAUGUCUGCCUUGUUACUGGACUUUGAGGACUCUGGAGGAGACAGUGAGGUUGACAAUUUAGUGCAGCACUGCAUCACUUUAAUCCAAGUCAUACACAAGUCAAGACAUCACCCUUGUGGUCUUAGAGAAUAAAGGAUGAACAACAGUGCA